rnacentral:rRNA from 1 species
GAUGAACGCUGGCGGCGUGCUUAACACAUGCAAGUCGAACGGAAAGGCUCCUGCUUGCAGGGGUACUCGAGUGGCGAACGGGUGAGUAACACGUGGGUGAUCUGCCCUGCACUUCGGGAUAAGCCUGGGAAACUGGGUCUAAUACCGGAUAGGACGAUGGUUUGGAUGCCAUUGUGGAAAGUUUUUCGGUGUGGGAUGAGCUCGCGGCCUAUCAGCUUGUUGGUGGGGUAAUGGCCUACCAAGGCGUCGACGGGUAGCCGGCCUGAGAGGGUGUACGGCCACAUAGGGACUGAGAUACGGCCCAGACUCCUACGGGAGGCAGCAGUGGGGAAUAUUGCACAAUGGGCGCAAGCCUGAUGCAGCGACGCCGCGUGGGGGAUGACGGCCUUCGGGUUGUAAACUCCUUUCGCUAGGGACGAAGCGCAAGUGACGGUACCUGGAGAAGAAGCACCGGCUAACUACGUG